rnacentral:rRNA from 1 species
GUCCACGCCGUAAACGAUGGGUGCUAGGUGUGGGGAGUGUCGACUCUCUCCGUGCCGAAGCUAACGCAUUAAGCACCCCGCCUGGGGAGUACGGCCGCAAGGCUAAAACUCAAAGGAAUUGACGGGGCCCGCACAAGCAGCGGAGCAUGUUCUUUAAUUCGACGCAACGCGAAGAACCUUACCAGGGCUUGACAUGCACGGGAAUGUCAUAGAGAUAUGGCAGCCCUUCGGGGCUCGUGCACAGGUGUUGCAUGGCCGUCGU